CUACGUGCCAGCAGCCGCGGUAAUACGGAGGGUGCGAGCGUUAAUCGGAAUAACUGGGCGUAAAGGGCACGCAGGCGGUUAUUUAAGUGAGGUGUGAAAGCCCCGGGCUUAACCUGGGAAUUGCAUUUCAGACUGGGUAACUAGAGUACUUUAGGGAGGGGUAGAAUUCCACGUGUAGCGGUGAAAUGCGUAGAGAUGUGGAGGAAUACCGAAGGCGAAGGCAGCCCCUUGGGAAUGUACUGACGCUCAUGUGCGAAAGCGUGGGGAGCAAACAGGAUUAGAUACCCUGGUAGUCCACGCUGUAAACGAUGUCGAUUUGGGGGUUGAGCUUUAAGUUUGGCGCCCGUAGCUAACGUGAUAAAUCGACCGCCUGGGGAGUACGGCCGCAAGGUUAAAACUCAAAUGAAUUGACGGGGGCCCGCACAAGCGGUGGAGCAUGUGGUUUAAUUCGAUGCAACGCGAAGAACCUUACCUACUCUUGACAUCCAGAGAACAUUC
rnacentral:rRNA from 1 species